rnacentral:rRNA from 1 species
GAUGAACGCUAGCGGCAGGCUUAAUACAUGCAAGUCAAGGGGGUAGCAAUACAACCGGCGCACGGGUGAGUAACGCGUACACAACAUACCAUAUACUGGAGUAUAGCUUUGGGAAACUGAAGGUAAUCCUCCAUAACAUUGCGAGAGGGCAUCUGAUUGCAAUUAAAGUUCCGGCGGUAUAUGAUUGGUGUGCGUUUGAUUAGCUAGUUGGUAGGGUAACGGCCUACCAAGGCGACGAUCAGUAGCUGGCGUGAGAGCGCGACCAGCCACACUGGAACUGAGACACGGUCCAGACUCCUACGGGAGGCAGCAGUAGGGAAUAUUGGACAAUGGGCGAAAGCCUGAUCCAGCCAUGCCGCGUGAUAGAUGAAGGCCCUCUGGGUUGUAAAUAUCUUUUAUCUGGGAAGAAACUCCUCUAUUCUUAGAGGCCUGACGGUACCAGAGGAAUAAGCACCGGCUAACUCCGUGCCAGCAGCCGCGGUAAAGUA